CUGGUUACUGUCGCUUCUUUAGUAAACAGUUUCUGUCCCAUAUUGCCCCAAACAAUUAUAAUUCUUCAUACACAUGCGCACAAAGUCAAAGGUCCAGCAACCACCAUGUGCUAGAAAGUGAGAGGUCCUUUAAGCCCCAGGGUCUCUCCUGUCCAGAGAACUGAUCUCCAAAGCUGCCAAACUGUCUGGACCCCAUAAAUAAAGCCACUGAAAAGCAAAGCGCUGUGAUAAGCUGUGUGGAAGGCCAUGCCCUAAGCAAAAUUUUCAGGGAGGGGAAGGAAGUAGAGGCCUUAAGGGUAUUAUCACUCUGGGCUGUAAGAGGGCAGAAAUGACCCACGGGGACCAUUACACUUAAUACCAUGUCUAUGCAAUUGUGUUCUGAUUCAGAGAGUGUGACAUAUUUUCAUAGUUUGAAUUACUUACAUAUUGCUGUGUAAGACAAUAUCCCAGAUGUACUGGCUUAACAUAACAGGCAUUUAUAAUAGCACACAGUUUCUGAGGAUCAGGAAAUCUAGAAGCAGGUUCCCCAGGUGGUUUUAGAUCAGGGGGGUUGCAGUCAGGAUGCUGGUGGAGGUGCCCCCUUCAUCUGAAAGCUUGGCAAGGAUGGAAGAUUCACUUUUUGUUUGUUUGGACUAUUUUUAAAAGUUUUUAUUGAACUUGAUACAGUAUUGCUUCUGUUUUAUGUUUUGGCUUUUUGGCCCUGGGGCAUGUGGCAUCUUAGCUCCCCGACUAGAGUUUGAACCCUCAUCCCUUGCAUUAGAAGGCAAAGUCUUAAUCACUGGACCACCAGGGAAGUCUCCAGAAGAUUCACAUCUAAGUUCACUCACAUGAUUGUUGGCAGGAGGAGACAGAGAGGAGAGAGACAGGGAGAGAUAGAGAUGAAGAGAGAGAGCACAAGAGAGAAGCUACAGAGUUUUUUAUAAACGAAUCUGGAGGAGCUCCAUACCAUCACUUCUGCCAUAUUCUAUUGGUAGUAAGGACCAACCCCUGGUAUCAUAAAGGAGGGGGCCGACUACAUGAGAGUGUGCAUACAGGAAGCAGGAUCGCUGGGGACCACCUUUGGUAGCCAGUCUCUAUGACAUAGUGCUUUCUAUUUUUUGCCAGGGUGGUGCUAACAUGCACAUUUCCCCGCAAAUGUUGGUGGGCAGCACACAUUAGCCACAGCUCAAAUUUUCUGACCUCUAAGCUAACAAUGUAUUCUGAUCAAUAGAUCCAAAUGUAGAAUUUGCAGCUUGAUGUCUGAAGAGAUUAGAGAGAAUUCUGUUUCUUAAAUAUGGCACUCGACCACAGGGAUGUUGACUGCGACCCUCUGGUGCCGGGGGUGCUUGGAUCUGUCUCCACUUGCUCCUCGGACCACGUCUGCUCUCCCCGUUAGCUUCUCCAGGAGACAAAGCUCAAGCUACCAGCCCAUUAAGAUGACGACACCAAGACUGCCGACUGGUCUAGUCUGUGACUCACCCAGGACCAGGCCCCAGGCCAGUGCUCGGGACUCCCCAGGCUGGGCAGAAGAGCAUGAGGGGUCUCCACCCACCUGCUCCUUGGUAUGCCUCUGCCCUGGCAGGGCAGCCCCUUCUUCUGGCCGGCUCUUGACUCUCCUGGGUGCAAUGCCCUUGGAGCAACCCUCAGAGGUUCCUAUCACUCUCCUACCUCCUGCCCCCCUCGCCAAAAACUUAUUAAGCAGUCGCCUGUCACCUCUACCUUAAUAAAUAAGAAUCUC
ensembl:lncRNA